UUCCAGACUCCUACGGGAGGCAGCAGUGGGGAAUAUUGCACAAUGGGGGAAACCCUGAUGCAGCGACGCCGCGUGAGUGAAGAAGUGUUUCGGCACGUAAAGCUCUGUCAGCAGGGAAGAAAAUGACGGUACCUGACCAAGAAGCCCCGGCUAACUACGUGCCAGCAGCCGCGGUAAUACGUAGGGGGCAAGCGUUAUCCGGAUUUAUUGGGUUUAAAGGGUGCGUAGGCGGGACCUUAAGUCAGCGGUAAAAUUGCGGUGCUCAACGCCGUAGAGCCGUUGAAACUGGGGUUCUUGAGUGAGCGAGAAGUAUGCGGAAUGCGUGGUGUAGCGGUGAAAUGCAUAGAUAUCACGCAGAACCCCGAUUGCGAAGGCAGCAUACCGGCGCUCAACUGACGCUGAGGCACGAAAGUGCGGGUAUCGAACAGGAUUAGAUACCCCAGUACAA
rnacentral:rRNA from 1 species